CCUUGAUCUCACUUGGUAGCCCAGGCUGGCCUCAAACUCACAGUGAUCCUCCUGCCUCAGCCUCCCGAGUGCUGGGAU
rnacentral:miRNA from 1 species